rnacentral:rRNA from 1 species
AGAGCGAACGCUGGCGGCAUGCUUAACACAUGCAAGUCGCACGGCUGGGGAAACCCAGCAGUGGCGGACGGGUGAGUAACGCGUAGGUAUCUAUCUCUGGGUGGGGGGACAACUGUGGGAAACUACAGCUAAUACCGCAUGAAGCCUGAGGGCCAAAGCAGCAAUGCGCCUGGAGAGGAGCCUGCGUACGAUUAGCUUGUUGGUGGGGUAAUGGCCCACCAAGGCGACGAUCGUUAGCUGGUCUGAGAGGAUGAUCAGCCACAUUGGGACUGAGACACGGCCCAAACUCCUACGGGAGGCAGCAGUGGGGAAUAUUGGACAAUGGGCGCAAGCCUGAUCCAGCAAUGCCGCGUGUGUGAAGAAGGUCUUCGGAUUGUAAAGCACGUUUCGGCGGGGACGAUGAUGACGGUACCCGCAGAAGACGCCCGGCUAACUCGCGCCAGCAGCCGC